rnacentral:sRNA from 1 species
UGGUGCGCACGAAGUCUUCUGGUACGUC